rnacentral:rRNA from 1 species
UUCCGGUUGAUCCUGCCGGACCUGACUGCUAUCGGAUUAAUACUAAGCCAUGCGAGUUUUUGUAGUAAUACAAGGCAUACGGCUCAGUAACACGUAGUCAACCUACCCUAUGGACGAGGAUAAUCUCGGGAAACUGAGCAUAAUACUCGAUAGGUCAUAAUGCCUGGAAUGGUUUAUGGUUGAAAUGAUUCGUUCGCCAUAGGAUGGGACUGCGGCCUAUCAGCUUGUUGGUGGGGUAAUGGCCCACCAAGGCGAUUACAGGUACGGGCUCUGAGAGGAGAAGCCCGGAGAUGGGUACUGAGACACGGACCCAGGCCCUAUGGGGCGCAGCAGGCGAGAAAACUUUGCAAUGUGCGAAAGCACGACAAGGUUAGUCCGAGUGAUUUCUGCUAAAGAAAUCUUUUGCCAGUUGUAAAACUACUAGUGAAUAAGGGGUGGGCAAGUUCUGGUGUCAGCCGCCGCGGUAAAACCAGCACCUCAAGUGGUCAGGAGGAUUAUUGGGCCUAAAGCAUCCGUAGCCGGCUUUGUUAGUUUUCGGUUAAAUCCAUGCGCUCAACGUAUGGGCUGCCGAGAAUACUGCAUAGCUAGGGAGUGGGAGAGGUAGACGGUACUCGGUAGGAAGGGGUAAAAUCCUUUGAUCUAUCGAUGACCACCUGUGGCGAAGGCGGUCUACCAGAACACGUUCGACGGUGAGGGAUGAAAGCUGGGGGAGCAAACCGGAUUAGAUACCCGGGUAGUCCCAGCUGUAAACGAUGCAGACUCGAUGAUGCAUUGGCAUAUAGCCAGUGCAGUGUCGCACGGAAGCCGUUAAGUCUGCCGCCUGGGGAAGUACGUACGCAAGUAUGAAACUUAUAGGAAUUGGCGGGGGAGCACCACAAGGGGUGAAGCCUGCGGUUCAAUUGGAGUCAACGCCGGGA